rnacentral:rRNA from 1 species
UACAGACUCCUACGGGAGGCAGCAGUGGGGAAUAUUGCACAAUGGGGGAAACCCUGAUGCAGCGACGCCGCGUGAGUGAAGAAGUAAUUCGUUAUGUAAAGCUCUAUCAGCAGGGAAGAAAAUGACGGUACCUGAGUAAGAAGCCCCGGCUAACUACGUGCCAGCAGCCGCGGUAAUACGUAGGGGGCAAGCGUUAUCCGGAUUUACUGGGUGUAAAGGGAGCGUAGACGGCAGUGCAAGUCUGGAGUGAAAGGCGGGGGCUCAACCCCCGGGACUGCUCUUGGAACUGCAUGGCUGGAGUACAGGAGGGGCAGGCGGAAUUCCUAGUGUAGCGGUGAAAUGCGUAGAUAUUAGGAGGAACACCGGUGGCGAAGGCGGCCUGCUGGACUGUGACUGACGUUGAGGCCCGAAGGCGUGGGGAGCAAACAGGAUUAGAUCCCCCCGUAUC